GAAAGCCCGCAGCUCUCACUCGCACAAGCGCCGCCCACGGCCUGUCGGGUGCGCUCUUCUAGGUGCCAGCCCAGCUCCCGGUCGGUUUGCGCCUGCGCAGAGCUUUGGGGGCGCGGCGAGGGAGCAAGGCCUCUGCGACUGCGCAUUGAAGGACUAAGAUGAUGGCGACGGCCGUGCGGCUGGCUUGGAGUUUUGCGGCUGCUGCCGCCGGGCGGCGCAGGCGAUUCUGUCACAUGAUGAAUGCAUAUACCAUUAAGAAACAACCUCUGCAUCAAUUUGUACGAAGACCACUCUUCCCACUACCUGCAGCCUUAUGUAACACAGUAAGAUACAUGUUUAUUCAAACACAAGAUACUCCAAACCCUAACAGCUUAAAGUUUAUACCAGGAAAACCAGUUCUUGAGACAAGGACCAUGGAUUUUCCCACAGCAGCUACAGCAUUUCGUUCUCCUCUGGCUAGGCAAUUAUUUAGAAUUGAAGGAGUAAAAAGUGUCUUCUUUGGACCAGAUUUCAUUACUGUCACAAAGGAAAAUGAAGAAUUAGACUGGAAUUUACUAAAACCAGAUAUUUAUGCAACAAUUAUGGACUUCUUUGCAUCUGGCUUACCCCUAGUUACUGAGGAAACAUCUUCAGGAGAAGCAGGUUCUGAAGAAGAUGAUGAAGUUGUGGCAAUGAUUAAGGAACUGUUAGACACUAGAAUACGGCCAACUGUACAGGAAGAUGGAGGAGAUGUGAUCUAUAAAGGCUUUGAAGAUGGCAUUGUACAGCUGAAACUCCAAGGUUCUUGUACUAGCUGUCCCAGUUCAAUCAUUACUCUGAAAAAUGGGAUUCAGAACAUGCUGCAGUUUUAUAUUCCAGAAGUAGAAGGUGUAGAACAGUUUCCUUCCAUUGUGAUCUGAUGGGAUGCCUGGGAUUAUAUCAAUCUUUUUGUGUUUGCUAAGACUUAUACUGUGACCUAGAAUAUGGUCUGUUUUGGAAAAGAUUCCAUGAGCUGCUGAAAAUAAGGUAAUGGAUGAUGAAGCAGAUGAAAAAGAAGCAAACUCACCAUAAAAUAAUCUAGCAUUUCUUUGAGUACAACAAUUGGACUUAUUGAUAAUAUAUACCAAGCUGUUGUUAUUAAUAUGCUAAGGAACUUGAAGAGUAAUAAAAAAUGCCCAUUCCUCAGAGAAUGAUAUAUAAAUGUUACAUGUUUGUUUUACCUCACAUGAAUUAUUUUUAACAUCCUGAGUCAUCUUCUGUACACGUGGAUUUUGUCCAGGGAUAUUUUUAUUUUUGUUCCUCAUUUCUCAUGGUGCCUUCUUUGCUCAGUAUAUGAAGCAGCGUUUAAAAUACGCUUUUCCCCAUCUGAUUUAUUUACAGUUUUUAUACAGAAGUAAAUAAGGAGAAUGUUUUUAAAAUAUUCUAAAAUGGAUUAACUUUUUUGUGAGACAUCUAAAACUGUUUAAUGGUUCUGGUUUUAAAAUGUUAUCUGGCUAGUAGCCACCAGUGUAACAGCAUAUAACUUCUUGAUGAAAGACCAAAAAAUGUUUUUUAUAUUACAGCUUUAAAAAAAUCACAUUGGAAGCUAGGGAUAUAGUUCAGUGGUAAGGCACUUGCCUAGCAUAUUUUUUUUUUUUGAGAGAGAGAGAGAGAGAGAAUUUUAAUAUUUAUUUUUUAGUUUUUCGGCAGACACAACAUUUGUUUGUAUGUGGUGCUGAGGAUCGAACUCGGGCUGCACGCAUGCCAGGCGAGCAUGCUACCGCUUGGGCCACAUCCCCAGCCCCUUGCCUAGCAUAUUUGAAGCACUGGAUCUGAUGCACAGCACUACAAGAUAAGUAAACAAACUGAAAAUUCAAGGACUAGACACACUUUCAACUGGUUAUAAGCAGAGCUGAAUUGAGAGAAACUGCAGAAUCUCAGAAAAAAGGGAGAGAGACUGCUUUGGUCUUUCUUCCAUUAUCUUCUGAUUCAGAGAGCCAUACAUUAUUUUUAAAAUGUAAAAGCUGUAUUAGUUAAUACUAGUUUCUGUGUCAUGUCAGAAAUUUGAAGUUAUUUCUUCACCACAGGAGUUACUACUGUUAUAGCCAAAAUAACAUAUUAGCCUUCCUUUCUUUUUCUAUAGUAAUUCAGAGAUAGAAGUUCACCAAAAAUACCAGGGAGGUGGUGGGGAGGCAAAUAGCAAUGAUACAUUGCAUUUACAGGGAUUAAGAUAGAUUUGGAGUGUAACCAUCAUUUGACCCAGCUAUCCCCACUCCUCAGUUUAUACCCAAAGGACUUAAAAACAGCAUACUAUUCAUAAUACCUAAAUUGUAGAACCAACCCAGAUGCCCUCCAGUGGAUGAAUGGAUAGGGAAACUUUGGUGUAUAUACACAAUGGAACAUCACUCAACAUUAAAAGAGAAUAAAUUCAUGGAAUUUGCAGGUAAAUGGAUGGAGUUGGAGAAUAUAAUGCUAAGUGAAGUAAGCCAGUCCCCAAAAACCAAAGGCUGAAUGUUUUCUUUGAUAUGAGGAUGAUAACUCAUAAUGGCAAUGGUGGGGGAGCAUGAGAGGAAUGGAGGAACUUUAGAUAGGGCAAAGAGGAGGGAGGGGAAAGGAGAGAGCAAGAUGGUAGGAAUGGCAGUGGAAUGAGUUAGACAUCAUUACCAUAAGUACAUGUAUGAAGACACAAAUGGUGUGAAAAUACUUUGUAUACAACCAGUGACUUGAAAAAUUGUGCUCUGUAUGUAUAAUCUGAAAUGAAUUGCAUUCUGCCAUCGUGUAUAAUAAAUUAGAAUAAAUAAAUAAUUUAAUAAAGGAAAAAAGCAGGAAGAACUCUUUAA